GGUUCGAGCAGGUGCGAAAGCAGGUCAUAGUGAUCCGGUGGUUCUGUAUGGAAGGGCCAUCGCUCAACGGAUAAAAGGUACUCCGGGGAUAACAGGCUGAUACCGCCCAAGAGUUCAUAUCGACGGCGGUGUUUGGCACCUCGAUGUCGGCUCAUCACAUCCUGGGGCUGAAGUCGGUCCCAAGGGUAUGGCUGUUCGCCAUUUAAAGUGGUACGCGAGCUGGGUUUAGAACGUCGUGAGACAGUUCGGUCCCUAUCUGCCGUGGGCGUUGGAAGAUUGAAGGGGGCUGCUCCUAGUACGAGAGGACCGGAGUGGACGAACCUCUGGUGUUCGGGUUGUGUCGCCAGACGCAUUGCCCGGUAGCUAAGUUCGGAAUUGAUAAGCGCUGAAAGCAUCUAAGCGCGAAGCGAGCCCUGAGAUGAGUCUUCCCUGACAGUUUAACUGUCCUAAAGGGUUGUUCGAGACUAGAACGUUGAUAGGCAGGGUGUGUAAGCGUUGUGAGGCGUUGAGCUAACCUGUACUAAUUGCCCGUGAGGCUUAACCAU
rnacentral:rRNA from 1 species